GAUGAACGCUAGCUACAGGCUUAACACAUGCAAGUCGAGGGACCGGCGCACGGGUGAGUAACACGUAUCCAACCUGCCCUUUACUCGGGGAUAGCCUUUCGACAGCAAGAUUAAUACCCGAUAUAAAGGGUGGGGAGUCGUUCCAUUAGGUUGUUGGUGAGGUAACGGCUCACCAAGACUUCGAUGGAUAGGGGUUCGGAGAGGAAGGUCCCCCACAUGUGAACUGAGACACGGGGCAAACGCCUACGGGAGGCAGCAGUGAGGAAGAUUGGUAAAUGGGCGCUAGCCUGAACCAGCCAAGUAGCGUGAAGGAUGAAGGCUUAUGGGGCGUAAACUUCUUUUAUAGAAGAAUAGGUAUUAGAUGAAUAAGGAGCGGCUAACUCCGUGCCAGCAGCCGCGGUAAUAC
rnacentral:rRNA from 1 species